ensembl:lncRNA
CCCGUGGACUGCAGCCCGCCAGGCUUCUCUGUCCAUGGGAUUCUCCACGCAAGAAUACUGGGAUGGGUUGCCGAGUCCUCCUCCAGGGAUCUUCCCGACCCAGGGAUGGAGACCACGCCUCUUAGUCUCCUGCAUCGGCAGACCCCCCGGCCGGAAGCUCCUUCUGUGAUGUGAAGGCCACCAGGGUACACGAGGGCAGGCCGACCACCAGUCCUCUGCGGGCACCAGGUCUACAGACAACCCGCGUCCACAGCAAGUCACAGGGCUGAGCCCCAAGACAGGGCCAGGAAGGGCCCGCCCCAUGGAAGAGGCGGGCAGGCGUUCCUGGACAACUGACUCACCUCUGUCUCUUCCGGCAAUCCCAAGUUCCCAAGGUCGCUGCCCUGAGCCACAUCCUGGACCCGCCACGCACUCGUUUCUCUGUAGACCCAGGAGAUCUAUGAAUGGCCAAGAAGCUAAUGAAAGCAUGCUCGACUCCUGGGAACAAACCCAGAGGGUAGAAAACAAGGUCUCAGACAGAUACCCGUGCACAGACAGCCACCGCAGCUCGACUCACGCCACCCAGAGUGGAAAGCAGCCGCACCGCCACAGUGCACGAGCUGGACGAGCACACUGCUUCAUCCAUACAAUGGAACGUUAUUCGGUCACGGAAAGCGAUGCCCAACACGCGUGAACACACACCAGGAGAAAGAAGCCACAGGCCGUGUCUCGUAUGAUUCCAGAACAGGCAGAUCCACAGCCAGAGAGAGCAAACUGGUGG